CAUGACGAGAUCUUGAAGAAAGUCAUUUCAAGCAAUUAUUGGAAAAGUGGUUUGGAAAACUUUAAGAAGUUAUGUUUGUGUAAUACCUGAGACUAACUGGAGAUAAAUAAACAUUGAGCACAAAAACAAGAAACGGGAAUGGGAAGUGGAGCUACAAUUUGAAUCCAGGCACACUGAUACAGGAUACAGGCAUGGUUGAUGAUGGAGGGGAUUAAGCCUGGAUGAGAUACCUGGGAGGCAGCAGAUGCUGGAUCGAGGACUUGGGUCCCUG
rnacentral:lncRNA from 1 species